GCCUGGUGUGGUGGCACAUACCUCUAGUCUUACUACCAGGGAGGCUGCUGCUGGUGAAUCACUUGAGUUUGGGAGUUCUGCACUAUAGUAGGGAUAAAGUCAAUCAGGUGUCCAUACUAAGUCCAGCAUUAAUAUUAUGAGCUUGGGGACCAGAGGGACACCGGUCUGCCUAAAAAGAGGUAAACUAGUGCAAGUCAGAAAUGGAGCACAUAAAAUCUCCCGUGCCAAUUAGCAUCGGAAUUAGGCCCAUGAACGGUCACUGCACUUCCAGCUCAGUCAAAAUAAGGAGACCCAGUCCCA
rnacentral:SRP_RNA from 1 species